CAGCAGCCGCGGUAAUACGGAGGAUCCAAGCGUUAUCCGGAAUCAUUGGGUUUAAAGGGUCCGUAGGCGGUUUAGUAAGUCAGUGGUGAAAGCCCAUCGCUCAACGGUGGAACGGCCAUUGAUACUGCUAAACUUGAAUUAUUAGGAAGUAACUAGAAUAUGUAGUGUAGCGGUGAAAUGCUUAGAGAUUACAUGGAAUACCAAUUGCGAAGGCAGGUUACUACUAAUGGAUUGACGCUGAUGGACGAAAGCGUGGGUAGCGAACAGGAUUAGAUACCCUGGUAGUCCACGCCGUAGACGAUGGAUACUAGCUGUUGGGAGCAAUUUCAGUGGCUAAGUGAAAGUGAUAAGUAUCCCGCCUGGGGAGUACGGCCGCAAGGUUGAAACUCAAAGGAAUUGACGG
rnacentral:rRNA from 1 species